AUACGAAGGUGGCAAGCGUUGCUCGGCAUCACUGGGCGUAAAGAGCUCGUAGGCGGUGGCGCAAGUCAGUGGUGAAAGCCCUCGGCUUAACCGAGGAAUUGCCAUUGAUACUGCGUCGCUAGUCGACCGGCGGGGUGAGUGGAAUUCUCGGUGGAGCGGUGAAAUGCAUAGAUAUCGGGAGGAACGCCGGAGGCGAAGGCGGCUCACUAGCCGGUUCGAGACGCUGAGGAGCGAAAGCGUGGGGAGCAAACAGGAUUAGAUACCCCAGUAGUCC
rnacentral:rRNA from 1 species